AGUCAGCUUUGGUCCCAAAAAAAAAAGUCUCUCAGCAAAUUUUCUGCACUAGGUUCCAAUCUGAGUCCCAUCAAAGAUUCAUAAUCAGAUAUGUAGAGAUAUAGAACAGUAACCAGAUGCUACAGUCUUCAUUCAGUUGCCAAUGAUGGAUGAUUUUGUGAUUCAUAUAGAAUCCUAUUUAUAUACAACGCUCACAAACAAAUUAGAAAUAAAUAGCAUCCUUUGAAAUGAAGCUGUUUGGCUAUGUAUCUUCUUAGGGAAAAGAAUCAAUAUUGAUCCUAUGAUCCACCUGUGCACUGAACAUGAAUAUCUAAAUGGAACAAAUUUCUUUAAGCGCCUUUUAUUCUAUCCCUUAGUAAAUGCAAACCCCCACCCCUCCCCCCCACCCUCCUCGCAUCACUGCAUUUAGCUAUUGGCAAUAGUGCCUUCCUUGACUAUGAUCUCUUCCCCGACCAGCAAGGUUCUCAUACCAUGUAAUUAUGUAUGUAUGAUCAAGAAUCACUCAUUAAGCUAGACUGAGCAUCCCAGCAUUACCAGUGUAAAGUUUAAUCAAGGAGUAAGGU
rnacentral:lncRNA from 1 species